rnacentral:rRNA from 1 species
UACGUAGGGUCCGAGCGUUGUCCGGAUUUAUUGGGCGUAAAGAGCGUGUAGGCGGCCAGAUAGGUCCGUUGUGAAAACUCGAGGCUCAACCUCGAGACGCCGAUGGAAACCAUUUGGCUAGAGUCCGGAAGAGGAGAGUGGAAUUCCAGGUGUAGCAGUGAAAUGCGUAGAUAUCAGGAGGAAUACCGAUGGCGAAGGCAGGUCUCUGGGCUAUAACUGACGCUCAUGCACGAAAGCGUGGGGAGCAAACAGG